rnacentral:rRNA from 1 species
GACGAACGCUGGCGGCAUGCUUAACACAUGCAAGUCGAACGAGCUGAUUCCUUCGGGAUGAAAGCGAGUGGCGAACGGGUGAGUAAUGUAUGAGUAACCUGCCUCUGUCUACGGGAUAACAUUUGGAAACAAGUGCUAAUACGGUAUAAGACCACAGCACCGCAUGGUGCGGGGGUAAAAGAUUUAUCGGACAGAGAUGGACUCAUAUCCCAUUAGCUAGUUGGUGAGAUAAUAGCCCACCAAGGCGACGAUGGGUAGCCGAGCUGAGAGGCUGAUCGGCCACAUUGGAACUGAAACACGGUCCAGACUCCUACGGGAGGCAGCAGUGGGGAAUAUUGGGCAAUGGAGGAAACUCUGACCCAGCAAUGCCGCGUGAGCGAUGAAGGUCAUCGAUUGUAAAGCUCUUUUCCUGGGAACGAAACAAAUGACGGUACCCAGGGAAUAAGCCCCGGCUAACUACGUGCCAGCAGCCGCGGUAAUACGUAGGGGGCGAGCGUUGUCCGGAAUGACUGGGCGUAAAGGGUGCGUAGGUGGUUUAAUAAGUUAGAAGUGUAAUACCCAGGGCUUAACUCGGGUGCUGCUUCUAAAACUGUUAGGCUUGAGUGUAGUAGAGGAAAGCGGAAUUCAUUGUGUAGCGGUGGAAUGCGUAGAUAUAUUGAAGAACAUCAGUGGCGAAAGGCGGCUUUCUGUGACUAUAACUGACACUGAGGCACGAAAGCUGGGGGAGCAAACAGUGAUUAUAUACCUUAUGUAGUUCAAGGGCGAAAUCCACUGUUGGAUAUUCAGCUUUUUCGUUCUGUUCGACCUUGUGGGGGGGUCCCGGUAUCCUGCUUUUUGUUCCUUUAUGAGUGUUAAAUUACCUUUCUCUAUGUUUUUUACUUUCAGUUUUUGUUUGUAUUCUCCCCUUGCUGUUCUCCUACAUCUGUAGUGUCUGCUUUCUGUUCUGUUUUCUCUUCUCUUUCCCUUGCCUCGUUCCCCAUGCCCUGCCCUAUCCUAUUAUGCUAUCUAAUGUGCUUGUUUAUGUGUGUAUCUUCUUUACUGUUUGCCGUGUGUGUGCCCCUGCUAGCUGUUGCUAUGCGUGGUGUGUGUUGCUGUCUGUGAGAUGCUGAUGUGCUACUUUGCUUCCUAUGCCUUCUUCUGUUGUUCCUUGCUGUCCUCUGCUACUAUUCACUGUGUCCUGCAUAGCCUAUGCUGCUAUAUGCUGUACUAGCUUGCUUUACUCCUAUGUUGUUUGCCUGGUGGUUGCCCUAGUUCACUUCCCAUCUUCUACCUAGUUAUCUGUAUAGACCCCUGUAUGAGCCCCUCCUUGCGUGGACUGCUAGCCCCAGAGCUCCAGCUGCCCCUGAGGCUACUGUAGCCCUUCCCUAUGACCAUGUUCUGUACCCUG